UUGCUUCUCAUACCUAGCGGCGGACGGGUGAGUACACGUAGGCAACCUGCCCACAAGACAGGGAUAACUACCGGAAACGGUAGCUAAUACCCGAUACAUCCUUUUCCUGCAUGGGAGAAGGAGGAAAGACGGAGCAAUCUGUCACUUGUGGAUGGGCCUGCGGCGCAUUAGCUAGUUGGUGGGGUAAAGGCCUACCAAGGCGACGAUGCGUAGCCGACCUGAGAGGGUGAUCGGCCACACUGGGACUGAGACACGGCCCAGACUCCUACGGGAGGCAGCAGUAGGGAAUCUUCCGCAAUGGGCGAAAGCCUGACGGAGCAACGCCGCGUGAGUGAUGAAGGUUUUCGGAUCGUAAAGCUCUGUUGCCAGGGAAGAACGUCUUGUAGAGUAACUGCUACAAGAGUGACGGUACCUGAGAAGAAAGCCCCGGCUAACUACGUGCCAGCAGCCGCGGUAAUACGUAGGG
rnacentral:rRNA from 1 species